UGGGGAAUUUUGCACAAUGGGGGAAACCCUGAUGCAGCGACGCCGCGUGAUUUAGAAGGCCUUCGGGUUGUAAAAAUCUUUUCUAUGGGAAGAAAAUGACAGUACCAUAGGAAUAAGGACCGGCUAAUUACGUGCCAGCAGCCGCGGUAAUACGUAAGGUCCGAGCGUUGUCCGGAAUCAUUGGGCGUAAAGGGUACGUAGGCGGGUAAGCAAGUUAGAAGUGAAAUCCUAUAGCUCAACUAUAGUAAGCUUUUAAAACUGCUCAUCUUGAGGUAUGGAAGGGAAAGUGGAAUUCCUAGUGUAGCGGUGAAAUGCGCAGAUAUUAGGAGGAAUACCGGUGGCGAAGGCGAGUUUCUGGCCAUAGCCUGACGCUGAGGUACGAAAGCGUGGGUAGCAAACAGG
rnacentral:rRNA from 1 species